rnacentral:rRNA from 1 species
GACGAACGCUGGCGGCGUGCUUAACACAUGCAAGUCGAACGGUAAGGCCCUUCGGGUACACGAGUGGCGAACGGGUGGAGUAACACGUGGGUGAUCUGCCCUGCACUUCGGGAUAAGCCUGGGAAACUGGGUCUAAUACCGGAUAGGACUCCUGGCUUCAUGGUUGGGGGUGUAAAGCUUUUGCGGUGUGGGAUGGGCCCGCGGCCUAUCAGCUUGUUGGUGGGGUAAUGGCCUACCAAGGCGACGACGGGUAGCCGGCCUGAGAGGGUGACCGGCCACACUGGGACUGAGAUACGGCCCAGACUCCUACGGGAGGCAGCAGUGGGGAAUAUUGCACAAUGGGCGCAAGCCUGAUGCAGCGACGCCGCGUGAGGGAUGACGGCCUCGGGUUGUAACC